AGCAGCCGCGGUAAUUCCAGCUCCAAUAGCGUAUAUUAACGUUGUUGCAGUUAAAAAGCUCGUAGUUGAAGUGUGGGUGAUCGCUGUUGUGAGACUUCGGUCUCUCGACAGUAAGUCACCCCCUUCCAGUAUCCAGUAGUGGGUAUUCACUUACUUACUAUUGUGUGUUGGUCCUUUACUGUGAGAAAAUUAGAGUGUUCUUAGCAGGCGUUUGCUUGAAUAGAUUAGCAUGGAAUAAUAAUUGAAGGCUUUCGUGUUCGAUUUGAUUGGUUUGUUCAUGGAAGCAAGGUUAAAAGGAACAGUUGGGGGUAUUCAUAUUCACUAGUUAGAGGUGAAAUUCUCGGAUUUAUGGAAGAUGAACAAGUGCGA
rnacentral:rRNA from 1 species